ensembl:lncRNA
GAUGAUUUAGACAGGACAGUGUUGUGGAGAUGAUUUUGACAGGACAGUGUUGUGGAGAUGAGUUUUGACAGGACAGUGUUGUGGAGAUGAGUUUUGACAGGACAGUGUUGUGGAGAUGAGUUUUGACAGGACAGUGUUGUGGAGAUGAGUUUAGACAGGACAGUGUUGUGGAGAUGAUUCCCAGGAAUGUCCGGAGUGGAGAUUCUCAGAGGCUGGUGUAUUCUGUGGUUGUCAACAACAACAACAACAUCAACAAGAAGUCAUUAAUCUCAUCAACGUUUCAUUUCCACAAUGGUUCAUGCUUACUUCAGUAAAGUGUAUAUAUUACACAGUAUGCAGUACUAGGGCUGGGGGCGGGGCUAGAUCUGAAACAUCGCUCCCCGAAUGACAGUCGAUAUACCAUAUUUGACUAUACACCGGUAUUGAUGCAUGGACCAGUUUGGGUUUUUACUUCACCUUCUAUAAAAAGGUAUUUCAAUGUUAGGUUUGUUAAAUUACACCCUACUCCGCUGUGUAUAACAUCCGUGUUUAUAGUUUACUCUGCUACUUGAGUCAUCUCUCUCCUCUCCAUGCCGCUUUCCACACAGAUCUAGCCCCGCCCCCUGUCACUCGGGGAGCGAUGUUUCAGAUCUAGUCCCGCCCCCUGUCACUCGGGGAGCGAUGUUUCAGAUCUAGCCCCGCCCCCUGUCACUCGGGGAGCGAUGUUUCAGAUCUAGCCCCGCCCCCUGUCACUCGGGGGAGCGAUGUUUCAGAUCUAGUCCCGCCCCCUGUCACUCGGGGAGCGAUGUUUCAGAUCUAGCCCCGCCCCCUGUCACUCGGGGAGCGAUGUUUCAGAUCUAGCCCCGCCCCCUGUCACUCGGGGAGCGAUGUUUCAGAUCUAGCCCCGCCCCCUGUCACUCGGGGAGCGAUGUUUGAGAGCUCCAUCAUGUCCAUCAAAGAAAGCAUUUUGGCUGAUGAGUUGGACAAAGAGUUUCAUGAGCAGAUAAUGCUGGGGAAUCUGAAUGUGCUGACCUAUAACACCUUCUGCUUUAAUGGAGCCUCUGGGUCUCCGGUUAUAAAUCCCAGUCAUUGUCAAGUAAUUAAUGGCAUCCCAGUAUAUGGCUGCCAGGUGAUUGCCAUGCAUACUGGUGUUUUUUUGUACAAAUGUAAGGAAACUCAAGAAACUCAGAGUGUGAUUGAAUAUGCAAUCCCUCUCAGGACCAUUCUAGAAAACGUAUUGGUCUACUUGGUGGACACAAACAAUGUUCAAAUGUUGGCAAGAUUCACCGAUGUUGCCAUGGAAAACCCACAUCUGUUUGAGCUCAUUGCCUGUCUUAUCAUCGAGAUGACACACACAUUGCAGCCUGGAUACUCUGAUAUCCUUGACGGAAUAUGGAAGGCAAUAUCAAAAAGUCGUAAAAGAGAUGAGAUGCAGAAAUUGAUCAUUGAAAUAAGUGUACAUCAAGGAUCGAAUUGA